rnacentral:rRNA from 1 species
GACGUAGGGCGCGAGCGUUGUCCGGAUUUAUUGGGCGUAAAGAGCUCGUAGGCGGCUUGUCGCGUCGUCCGUGAAAACUUGGGGCGUCAACCCCAAGCUUGCGGUCGAUACGGGCAGGCUAGAGUUCGGUAGGGGAGACUGGAAUUCCUGGUGUAGCGGUGAAAUGCGCAGAUAUCAGGAGGAACACCGGUGGCGAAGGCGGCUCACUGGGUCGUCUACUGACGCUGAGGUACGAAAGCCAGGGUAGCGAACGGG